AAAAUAUACAAUUCUUUUAGAAGCAACAGAAAGAUUUCUGCAGGGAUAUGGAAAUCCUGAACUGAUCUUUCUGCGACUCUCAUGGAUAGUCUUACAUAUACAGAGGUUAGUGGAUUUCACCAAGGGACUUCCAGGUAUCACACUGCCUUUGGAAAAAAUUAAAGUAAUUUAAUAUGUAAUUUUUUUAAAGUUCCUUGUUUUAAAGGAAGGUGACAUUUUAAGAAGACAAAACCUUCUAGUUUUCUAUCAAAACUGCCUCUAAAUUCAAAAACAUAUUGACUUUGUUUGCUUUAAUCAAUCAGGUGGAUGAAAAUAUAAAUAUUUAAAAAUAUUAUUCAAGUGACUUCAAAGACUUAGAGUUAAGACAAACUGUG
ensembl:lncRNA